rnacentral:rRNA from 1 species
CUUAAAAUUUAUUUAAGGUCUCUGCCUGCUCAAUGCUUAAAGUAAAUAGCCGCAGUAUUUUGACUGUGCUAAGGUAGCAUAAUCAUUAGUCUUUUAAUUGAAGGCUGGUAUGAAUGGCAAGACGAGAAAGAAGCUGUCUCUUUAAAAUUAAUUGAAUUUCAUUUUUAAGUGAAAAAGCUUAAAUAAGUUUAAGGGACGAUCAGACCCUAUGGAGCUUAAUUUUAAUUUGUGAGUAAAUUUAUUUUUAAAAGUUACUUGCUUUAAGAAAUUUUGUUGGGGCGACAGAGAGAUGAAAAAACCACUCUUUUUAUUAAACUUAUAUUAACGGAAAAUUGAUCCCUAAAGAAGGAUUAAAAGACUAAGUUACCCUAGGGAUAACAGCGUAAUUUUUUUGGAGAGUUCAUAUCGAUAAAAAAGUUUGCGACCUCGAUGUUGGAUUAGGAAUUUAGCUAGGUGCAGAAGUUUAGUUGUAGAGU